GAUGAACGCUAGCGGCAGGCCUAACACAUGCAAGUCGAGGGGUAGAAGGAGCUUGCUCCUUUGAGACCGGCGCACGGGUGCGUAACGCGUAUGCAAUCUACCUUGUACAGGGGAAUAGCCCAGAGAAAUUUGGAUUAAUGCCCCAUAGUAUAUAACCUUCGCAUGUUGGUUAUAUUAAAGUUUCUAACGGUACAAGAUGAGCAUGCGUCCCAUUAGUUAGUUGGUAGGUAACGGCUUACCAAGACGAUGAUGGGUAGGGGUCCGUGAGAGGGAGAUCCCCCACACUGGUACUGAGACACGGACCAGACUCCUACGGGAGGCAGCAGUGAGGAAUAUUGGUC
rnacentral:rRNA from 1 species